rnacentral:rRNA from 1 species
AUACGGAGGAUCCGAGCGUUAUCCGGAUUUAUUGGGUUUAAAGGGUGCGCAGGCGGGAGAUUAAGUCGGCGGUGAAAUUUUGCAGCUCAACUGUAAAAGUGCCGUUGAAACUGUCGGACUUGAGUGUAAAUGAGGUAGGCGGAAUGCGUGGUGUAGCGGUGAAAUGCAUAGAUAUCACAAGGAACUCCGAUUGCGAAGGCAGCUCACUAAGCUAUAACUGACGCUGAUGCACGAAAGCGUGGGUAUC